rnacentral:rRNA from 1 species
GUACGGGGGGAGCAAGCGUUGUUCGGAUUUACUGGGCGUAAAGGGCGCGUAGGCGGCCACCGCAAGUCGACUGUGAAAUCUCCGGGCUUAACCCGGAAAGGUCAGCCGAUACUGCGGGGCUAGAGUGCAGAAGGGGCAACUGGAAUUCUCGGUGUAGCGGUGAAAUGCGCAGAUAUCAGGAGGAACACCGAUGGCGGAAGGCAGCUCGCUGGGACGGUACUGACGCUGAGGCGCGAAAGCGUGGGGAGCAAACAGG